UCUUAUUAGAAAUGGCACUUUCAGAACUGAAGUCACUGGUCUGACCACUGCGGCCGGAGUUUGUUCAGUAGAAAAAUUCGCUGUUGGAGAAGACCUUCCACCAACGUUCAGCGGACGUGUAACAGUAGCGCACGAAAUUGGGCACUUGCUUGGUUGCGUUCAUGAUGGCUGUCCGAAAGCAGCGAACUGUUCUCAUAAGUACGGUAAUCUCAUGUCUACUAUCUACACGGACAUUCAAAAUAAGUCGAAGCUUUCAGAAUGCUGCAAAAGUAGUAUACGAGAUUU